GACGAACGCUGGCGGCGUGCCUAAUACAUGCAAGUCGAACGAACAGACGAGGAUUUUGUUCUUGGGACGUGAGCGGCGGACAAGGGGGUAACAAGUGGAUAACAAACCUAUACGCCUUGGAUAACUUCGGGAAGCAGGAGCUGAUAACGGGUGAUAUAUUGAACUGCUUGGUUCGAUAGUGAAAGACGGAUUUGCUGUGACUUAUAGGUGGAGGCGCGCCGCAUUAGCUAGUUGGUAAGGUAACGGGUUACCGAGGCUACGAUGCGUAGCCGCCCUGGGAGGGGGUUCGCCCACACUGGGAGUGAGACACGCUGCAGACACCUACAGGAGGCAGCAGUAGGGAAUCUUCCGCAAUAGGCGCGAGCUUGACGGGGCGACGCCGCGUGAGAGAUGAAGGUCCUCGGAUCGUGAGACUCUGUUUUGAGAGAAGAACAAAUGUGUAAGUAUCUGUGCACGUCUAGACGGUACCGAAUCAGAAAGCGCCGGCUAACUACGUG
rnacentral:rRNA from 1 species